CUCUUGAAAGCCUUAAUCUGAGACGGGUACAGCGACAUGGUGCUCUGUGUGAGCCAAACACAGUCAGCGACACGACAUUAUUCAGCACAGCAAGAUGACAGCAUCCCAGUCUGGGACUGAACCGCAUCACACACGCGCGCAUUCGCUCCAUCUUAAAGUUAAAACAAUCGCAAUAAAAAUGCUCCGAUUGCCUUUGCAUGCAGUUCAUGAAUCUGAAUAAGCCAUACCUUGAGUUGUGCAGAGGCGGUGUUGACAAACCGAGGAGGGGUCCAAACCGCUGCAGCACUCUUAAUGUAAUGAGGCGAGGCAAUCCGGACACAGCCGAAUGAGGGCGAGCUCAAUACCUCCGUAUUCUAGAGCAAUCUCGACUCUAAGAGCUGUGUUGUGAGGUAUGUUUCACCGGAGCAUGAAUUAUCUAAACGCUUUGGAGGGGCUGAAGAGCGCAGUUGAGAAUGUGGUGUGGCAGACUGCAGCAAGUAGAGAAGACCCACUGCUGGAGAGUAUUGACACUAGUGUGCUACGUCGUGGGUGUGGGAGGAGAAGGAGAAGGUAAUAUGAUGUUAAAGAGCCGACACUGUUUCAGUCUGUGUGUGAAAAGGACAUGCACUAAACGCAGACACAGCAAGUGGGCAAAAGGUAUUGCCUCACCCCACUACUAUGCUGUGAAGAUCAAUCUAUGGCUCAGUUUCACUGGGAAUUGUGUCACUAAAUCGUACAGCGAUAAGAGGCACACACAGGUAAUAAGUGCACUUUAGCAUUUAUUGAAGAAUACAAGUAUUCAGUAUAACUGCAGGCAUUUUCAAUGUGGCAUAAAUUUGUGCAAAGGUGCAACGUCAAAAGCAGAAUACAUGAAAAAAAUUAAGUGUAAUAUCUGAGACUCUUACAUUAGUGUCUAAAAGGUGCAAGCACUACUUUAAACUAUGUUAUACUAUACUGUACUCUAAACCAUAAAUUGCUUUCAUAGGAUGGGUUCACUCAAGGCUCAUAGGCUGGAGGUGAAGCCAAUUCACUGUUCAGCAGAGCUUCUUGGCUGCUGCAUCUUCCCUGCACCACCACCGCAUCCUGCAAUCCAAACAACAGUAAUGUGGCAUGCAUAUCAACUCUGUAGUUUUAUGACACGUUAUACACAGGGUUAGAAAUGCAAUGAUUAUUGACCGGAUAAACUACUUUCACUGAUAGGGAUUUUAUUUCUACUGACACCUGUAAACCAUGCAGUAUUUACACAAAACUCAUGAAAUUUUUCAAUACAAUUAUUAAACACAAUUUUGAGCUCUAAUAGAGUAUUACUAUCAAUAUGUAAUCUGAUCUAAUGUGUGUGAUGGAAUAAUGCAUAUCCCUGGAUGCUUAACCCUCUAAAGCAGACAGUUUUAUGAAUUAAAAUCGUCCCAACAUUUGCUUUUCACUUUUAUAAAGUUACAUAGACUGUCUUUUAUCCAAUCCAAACUUUUUCCCCCUGCCAGAUAAGUACACUGUUUGAUUACUGAAGCAACAUGUACAACAACUGCUAGCAUUUGCAACACAUCAAAUCACAGCAAUGUAAGCACAUACUUACCUACCAUACAAAGUCAUUUUGUAAAAAUCAUUUCUGAUUCCUUAUGAUGUUUAAGGCAAAAAUGCUUUACAUGUUGAAUAAUAAUUGAUUAAAAACUAUGUAUUAUGCAUAAAUGACAACAGCUUAUUAGGGAAAAUAUAUGAAGUGCAUAAUCUUGGUUACAGUGAACAUAACUGAGAUGUAUUUUUAGGUAGAUGUCAAUAUGUUUUAUGGAAGGAGGAAAGUUAUGGCAAGAUGGUGUAGUUUUAGCUACAUUUUAACAAAUGUAGUUAGAGUGGAUAAUCCAUGUAUUCAUUCUUCUUCAGUAAUCAUUAUAUCCUGGUCAGGGUGACGGUGGAGUCUAUCAUUGAAACACAGGGCACAAGGCUGGAAUACACCCUAACGUGUAAUGUAAAAAAAAAACAUGUUAAUGGGCUAGAAGCAUCUCUACAAUGCAGGGAAUGUUAAAUAUGUAUGAACUUGCAAAUAGAAAUAACCCCAACUACCCUGAUUAUAGACAUAUUUCCAUGAGUUUGGAAACUUUCCUUAAGUAGAACAACACAAGGUCUUGGACUAGACCUUUAGCAUAAACAUUCCUAAAAGUUGCUUAGUUCCUGACGUCCUGAUCCUGUACCUGCUGCUGCAUAUUUAGCUGUUUUUCUCAUUGUAUAAUCUUAUCCAAAUUGGUGAUUUGCAUUGGUGUGUUAGGGCAGGGUAAACACUACUAUGUACAAUGACAUUUUAGGACCACUGUUUGUAAAGUAAAAAUAGAGUAUUUGGUGAAUAAAGUCAUGAUAUAUUGAGAAAAAAAGUCAUUCUAGUUCCACCAUAAUUCCACCACAGCACUGUGAAAGACUGAUCUCCAAUUAUCGGAAGCAUUUGGAUGCAGUUAUUGCUGCUAAUGGUGGCACAACCAGAUUUUAAGUUUAAGGGGGCAAUUAGUUUUCACAUAAGUGAUAGGUGUUGGAUCUCUUUUUAUUUGGCUUCAAUAAAAAAAAGAAUAAAUAAAAAUGUAUAGUGCGUUUACUCAGGUUGACUUUGUUUUAUAUUGUAUUUCAUUUGAAGAUCUAAAACUAUUUAAUAUGAAUAUAUACAAAAACAGAAGAAAUCUUUUUCACAGCACUGAUCAGUAUAUCAACUUAUAUAAAUCAUACUAAUCCAUCCAAAAGGAGUUCCAUCCAUAUUCUACCGCUUACUCCUUUUCACCCUGGACAGGGUACCAAUCCAUCACAGGGCACAAUCACAUACACACUCACACACACACCCAUUCAUACACUACGGACACUUUAGACAUGCCAAUCAGCCUACCAUGCAUGUCUUUGGACUGGUGGAGGAACCAGAGUACCUGGAGGAAACCCCCUCAUCUCCUCCUCACGGGGAGAACAUGCAAACUCCGCACACACAUGGCCCUGGCGGGACUCGAACCCAGGGCGCUGGAGGUGUGAGGCGAACGUGCUAAACACUAAGCCACCGUGCGCCCCAAAAGGACUUAUCAAUUCUGAGUGCAAAAUAUAUCUAGAGCUGCAACAACUAAUCGAUAAAAUUGAUACUAAUCAAUUAUGAAAAUCGUUGUCAACGAAUCUCAUUAUCGAUUACUUGGUCUGCGCGCGGUACGGGGUACAUUUACUCACUACGUUACUUCUGUUCAGAAAACACCCAUUGGAGAGUAAAUACUAAAUUUGUGUUCCAAAUGACAUACUAUACAAUUACACUAUACACUGUGUACUCUACCAUGUAGCGUGUGAAUUUUAGAAAGGUAAUAUCAUCUCAAAUGGAACACGCAUGACAUCAUACGCACGCAAUAUGACACCGCUUGCUUUAGCAGAUACCCAGAGUCACCGAUAAUCAAUCAAUUUCAUCAGUUUACUGUUUAUACAUUUAGUUAUAAACUUAGUUUAUAAUAUAUAUAAAUAUUUAUGCAUUACUUUUUAUGGAUGCAGAAAAAGCACUGAAUUAAACUACAGUCCUAAAUGAAUAAUAUAUAUUCUGGAGUGUGUCUGUGUGUAUUGGGUUCUUUUCAGUCUUAUCUAAUUGGGCAAACGGUUGUGUAAAGUUUUAGUCUGAAGUUUAUAUUUCUAACACUCAGUUUGUGGAUUUUAUUUUAAAUAAAUGAAAAAAAAUGGUACUGAAAGUUUGCCCCCCCCGUCAGAUUAAUCGAAAAAAUAAUUGGCCAACGAAUCGAUUAUGAAAAUAAUCAUUAGUUACAGCUCUAAAUAUAUCAUUGGAGAAUAUUAGGUGAAGAAAUUUACUACAAUCAUAAUUUAAAAAAAAACUUAUAUUACACAUUAAAAGAGAGUCAGACUGCUGAGUGACAGAAGAAGUAAGAUAAACCAUCAGCUAGCCUUCUGAAAGUCUUACCAUUUUAGUCCCAGAUGCAUGUAGGUUGGCCUUGCAGGAAAAGACAACAGUUGUGGUACACACGCACACCUCCAGCACGGAUAAAAUCAAAAGUAUGCCCUUUAUUCCGCUUAUUAAGUUCUGAAAAAUGUCAGAAAAAAGUAGGAAUAAUAAUAAUAAGUCAACUAAUACAAGCGAAAUUACAUAAGUGGUAUGGUUGUGGACAAUAAACCAGAAAAAUCAUAUUGAAAAACAUUAAAACAUUUUUGCAAAGAAAAAAUCCGAUGCCAGCAAGGACACUUACCUGCAGACGCCUAGCUGCAAACUGGCAGUCAUAGUAGCCGGUGUAGUAGAACUUUUUCUCAUGAUCAUCACUACAAGCAUCCAAAUGAGCUUUUAUGGCAAGUGCAAAGCAGAAGUAGCAGAUGCCGGACAUGGCAAGUACAGCACUGAUGAUGUUCAGGGCAAUUGUGCUUUUAAUCUACCCAAAGAGAAAAAGCUAGUCAGAUUGUAGCCCAUCAUAGUGUAACAUAUUUAAUUCAGAACUGAACAAAGCAUUCUGGAGUGAUAUAUGGACUCCACACUUGUAUAUGUACACUACAAUGAAAUGGCACAAAAGACAUCUGAAGCACUGCAAUGACGCUUGAUGAAUUUUUGUUGAAUUCAUAUGGAUUACUUACAAUUGGAGGACAGGUUCCCUUGUGUGCACCCAAGGUUACAGAUCCAGAGAAGAUA
ensembl:lncRNA